rnacentral:rRNA from 1 species
GAUUGUAGUCUGCAACUCGACUACAUGAAGCUGGAAUCGCUAGUAAUCGCGGAUCAGAAUGCCGCGGUGAAUACGUUCCCGGGUCUUGUACACACCGCCCGUCACACCAUGGGAGUCAGUAACGCCCGAAGCCGGUGACCCAACCAGACUUGGAGGGAGCCGUCGAAGGCGGGACGGAUGACUGGGGUGAAGUCGUAACAAGGUAGC